rnacentral:rRNA from 1 species
GAUGAACGCUGGCGGCGUGCCUAAUACAUGCAAGUCGAGCGAACGGACGAGAAGCUUGCUUCUCUGAUGUUAGCGGCGGACGGGUGAGUAACACGUGGAUAACCUACCUAUAAGACUGGGAUAACUUCGGGAAACCGGAGCUAAUACCGGAUGAUAUUUUGAACCGCAUGGUUCAAAAGUGAAAGACGGUCUUGCUGUCACUUAUAGAUGGAUCCGCGCUGCAUUAGCUAGUUGGUAAGGUAACGGCUUACCAAGGCAACGAUGCAUAGCCGACCUGAGAGGGUGAUCGGCCACACUGGAACUGAGACACGGUCCAGACUCCUACGGGAGGCAGCAGUAGGGAAUCUUCCACAAUGGGCGAAAGCCUGACGGAGCAACGCCGCGUGAGUGAUGAAGGUCUUCGGAUCGUAAAGCUCUGUUAUUAGGGAAGAACAUAUGUGUAAGUAACUGUGCACAUCUUGACGUUACCUAAACAGAAAGCCACGGCUAACUACGUG